rnacentral:piRNA from 1 species
UUAAUAGACGGUUUUCGUUGU